UACGUAGGGUCCGAGCGUUGUCCGGAAUUAUUGGGCGUAAAGAGCUCGUAGGCGGUCUGUCGCGUCGGCUGUGAAAACUCAGGGCUCAACCCUGAGCCUGCAGUCGAUACGGGCAGACUAGAGUUCGGUAGGGGAGACUGGAAUUCCUGGUGUAGCGGUGAAAUGCGCAGAUAUCUGGAGGAACACCGGUGGCGAAGGCGGCAUCCUGGACCAAUAUUGACGCUGAGGAGCGAAAGCUAGGGGAGCAAACGGG
rnacentral:rRNA from 1 species